CCUGCUCCUAGAAGGAUUGCAGGUGCAACUUCUGUGCCACAUGGAUGUCAGUAGGUGGCAGAGAGGAGAGGGGUUAUGCCCACACUUAGUGCUCUGACCUAUCUGAAUGUCUGAAUGAUAGUCGCCUUACACU
rnacentral:snoRNA from 1 species